CAGCCCUCGAACCACUAUUCACGUAGCUGGAUCGGUGUUGGGGCACUACGGUGUAAUACCCGUAGGCCCCCAAAUGAAGUGGCGGUCCCGCCGCGGCGCCCCCAUGCGUAGUAACUUUCAGUCUCGCAUCGGGUCCCGGCGGAGGCCUGCCGUCAAGCCUAUUUUAUCUUUACAGAUG
rnacentral:misc_RNA from 1 species